GCAAUUUGGCAUCAGUCUCGCAGUAGUACAGCGCAGCAGUUUGGCCGUACGCUAAACGUUCGGCCAAGUCAACAUCAACGGAACGUAUCAGGUCAGGUGGACAGAUGGCCUGCAACUCAACUCAUCGCCCCCAAUCUAUAUCUACCUGGAGUACCAUCAUCUUCCGGCGGUGACAUCAUAGCACCGCCGCGACUACUAGAAUUUUCCGUUGCGUUGAACCGAGGAAAUUAGCGGGCAGAGUUUAAUGACGGCAUUGACUCCCGGGCUAAUCACUGUGGAUGCACGAGCCAGAUCCGGCGUGCUCGCAUGCCGUACUAGCAUACAAUCCGGGAGCGCAUUCAUACCGGUAAUCGGACCCAUCUUCACUGUCGCGCGCAUUCAUAUCCGCAAUUCAACAAGACGAUGAUUUGCUUUGCUGUGUUGAAUGAUUGAAUCUUUUCAGUUCCAAGAACAUGGAAGAAGAAGAACACCGAAAGUUAUCUACACCAAAUGCUGUCUGGAACUCUGGAGUCUGGAAGCGACAGGACGGGUGGGUUACAG
rnacentral:lncRNA from 1 species